AAUGGGAGGGAUGAGAAUAACACCAUUCCUUUAUCCUUGACUUACAGUUUGUGCAGCCAAGAGGCGGCCCUCGCCAAGGGUGCCGUCGUGCCGGCCAUCCGCAAGGAUCUGCAGGGAUCCGCAAGGAUCUGCAGGGAUCUACAAGGCCGCCUCGCGCCAGCAACCACGAGCAAGGUGGGUGAGCGCACAACCCUGGCUCUGCAGAA